CGGCACGCUUAACACAUGCAAGUCGAACGGGAUCUUCGGAUCUAGUGGCAGACGGGUGAGUAACGCGUGGGAACCUGCCCAGUAGUAGAGAAUAACUUGAGGAAACUUAAGCUAAUACUUUAUACACCCUCCGGGGAAAAGCUUUAUGCGCUAUUGGAUGGGCCCGCGUUAGAUUAGUUUGUUGGUGAGGUAAUGGCUCACCAAGACUACGAUCUAUAGCUGGUCUGAGAGGAUGAUCAGCCACACUGGGACUGAGACACGGCCCAGACUCCUACGGGAGGCAGCAGUGGGGAAUAUUGGACAAUGGGGGCAACCCUGAUCCAGCGAUGCCGCGUGAGUGAUGAAGGCCUUCGGGUUGUAAAACUCUUUCGUCAGGGAAGAUAAUGACGGUACCUGAAGAAGAAGAUCCGGCUAACUCCGUGCCAGCAGCCGCGGUAAUACGGAGGGAUCUAGCGUUAUUCGGAAUUACUGGGCGUAAAGCGAGCGUAGGCGGAUUUGUAAGUUGGAGGUGAAAUCCCAGAGCUUAACUCUGGAACUGCCUUCAAAACUACAUUUCUUGAGUUUGGUAGAGGAGAGUGGAAUUCCUAGUGUAGAGGUGAAAUUCGUAGAUAUUAGGAGGAACACCAGUGGCGAAGGCGACUCUCUGGGCCAAUACUGACGCUGAGGUUCGAAAGCAUGGGUAGCGAACAGGAUUAGAUACCCUGGUAGUCCAUGCAGUAAACGAUGAGUGCUAGAUGUUGGGAAUUUAAAUUUCCAGUAUCGCAGUUAACGCGUUAAGCACUCCGCCU
rnacentral:rRNA from 1 species